CUUGCUAUUUCUGCUCCUCCAGCUCCUGCUGCUACACACUAUAAACCAUGGCUAACACAAGUAGUAUCAGUGGUUCAGAUACCUGCAGUAUCACUCCAAGGCAUUCCAAGAUUGCAUCAACAAAUUUUUAAGUGUGUUUGUACCAUACUUAGGGCCUCCGUAUUUAGAUCUCGUAUAAAUACUCAGGGGACUCAAAAUGUAAUUAUGUAAUAAAGGAAGGGGCAAAUAUGUAAUAAGUGAGGAGCCCUUAUUCUAUAAAAGGACCCUUCACUAUCCUCAUUACAGAUGCCAAUUCUUAAGCCAUCUCACCCUCACAAAGCUCAUCUCUCUCAAGCUCUCAUGCUUACAAACAAAGAGCCCUAUCAAACUCUCUCUUUCUCUGGGUGACUCCUCCUCACCCUUGUAAUCCAUACAUACAAUCAGAGAAAUACAGUAUCAGUGUGGACGUAGCCUAAACAUUG
rnacentral:lncRNA from 1 species